rnacentral:rRNA from 1 species
GCCUUCGGGAACGCACAGACAGGUGCUGCAUGGCUGUCGUCAGCUCGUGUUGUGAAAUGUUGGGUUAAGUCCCGCAACGAGCGCAACCCCUAUUGUUAGUUGCCAUCAUUCAGUUGGGCACUCUAGCGAGACUGCCGGUAAUAAACCGGAGGAAGGUGGGGAUGACGUCAAAUCAUCAUGCCCCUUAUGACCUGGGCUACACACGUGCUACAAUGGUUGGUACAACGAGUUGCGAGUCGGUGACGGCGAGCUAAUCUCUUAAAGCCAAUCUCAGUUCGGAUUGUAGGCUGCAACUCGCCUACAUGAAGUCGGAAUCGCUAGUAAUCGCGGAUCAGCACGCCGCGGUGAAUACGUUCCCGGGCCUU